GGGGGUGUAGCUCAGUGGUGGAGCAUUUGCUUGGAAUGGAUAUAUAGAGCCCUGGUUUCUAUCUCCAGCACUUCCA
rnacentral:tRNA from 1 species